AUUGAACGCUGGCGGCAUGCCUUACACAUGCAAGUCGAACGACAGCACGGGUGCUUGCCCCUGGUGGCGAGUGGCGAACGGGUGAGUAAUACAUCGGAACAUGUCCUGUAGUGGGGGAUAGCCCGGCGAAAGCCGGAUUAAUACCGCAUACGAUCUACGGAUGAAAGCGGGGGACCUUCGGGCCUCGCGCUAUAGGGUUGGCCGAUGGCUGAUUAGCUAGUUGGUGGGGUAAAGGCCUACCAAGGCGACGAUCAGUAGCUGGUCUGAGAGGACGACCAGCCACACUGGGACUGAGACACGGCCCAGACUCCUACGGGAGGCAGCAGUGGGGAAUUUUGGACAAUGGGCGAAAGCCUGAUCCAGCAAUGCCGCGUGUGUGAAGAAGGCCUUCGGGUUGUAAAGCACUUUUGUCCGGAAAGAAAUCCUUGGCCCUAAUACGGUCGGGGGAUGACGGUACCGGAAGAAUAAGCACCGGCUAACUACGUG
rnacentral:rRNA from 1 species